rnacentral:misc_RNA from 1 species
GUGAAGAACGCAGUGAAAUGCGAUACUUGGUGUGAAUUGCAGAAUCCCGUGAACCAUCGAGUCUUUGAACGCAAGUUGCGCCCGAAGCCAUUAGGCCGAGGGCACGCCUGCCUGGGCGUCACACGUCGUUGCCCCCCCAUCUACUCCUUCGGGAUUGCGGGGGGCGGAUGAUGGCCUCCCGUGCGCCUCGCCGCGCGGUUGGCAUAAAUGCCAAGUCCUCGGCGACGCACGCCACGACAAUCGGUGGUUGCGAAACCUCGGUUGCCCGUCGUGUGCGGUCGUCGCGCAUCGAGGGCUCGAAAAAAUUGCCGGGUUCCGGCUCGGCUUUCAACGCGACCCCAGGUCAGGCGGGGUUACCCGCUGAAUUUAAGCAUAUCAAUAAGCGGAGGA